rnacentral:rRNA from 1 species
UACAGAGGGUGCAAGCGUUAAUCGGAAUUACUGGGCGUAAAGCGCGCGUAGGCGGUUGUGUAAGUUGGAUGUGAAAUCCCCGGGCUCAACCUGGGCACUGCAUUCAAAACUGCACGGCUAGAGUAUGGGAGAGGAAGGUAGAAUUCCAGGUGUAGCGGUGAAAUGCGUAGAGAUCUGGAGGAAUACCGAUGGCGAAGGCAGCCUUCUGGCCUAAUACUGACGCUGAGGUGCGAAAGCAUGGGGAGCAAACAGG